UGACCCCUGCCGUGUACGUGAUUGGAAGAUGUUCUUUGUCCCAACACUGAUUAAAAGGGGGCUUUCCCUGGUUUUGGUGUGCAUGUUCUGCUUGUACGGAAAAGCCUGAAGAAGCUAUAAGGUCCCAAAUUUGCUAUUUGGUUCAAAGUCCUUUCAACACGGCAUAUUGGCGGGGGUUUU
rnacentral:other from 1 species